UACAGAGGGGGCAAGCGUUGUUCGGAAUUACUGGGCGUAAAGGGCGCGUAGGCGGCCACCUAAGUCAGACGUGAAAUCCCUCGGCUCAACCGGGGAACUGCGUCUGAUACUGGGCGGCUUGAAUUCGGGAGAGGAAUGCGGAAUUCCAGGUGUAGCGGUGAAAUGCGUAGAUAUCUGGAGGAACACCGGUGGCGAAGGCGGCAUUCUGGACCGACAUUGACGCUGAACAGCGAAAGCCAGGGGAGCAAACGGG
rnacentral:rRNA from 1 species